rnacentral:lncRNA from 1 species
GGUUCAAAGAGUAAAACCAAAUGAAAGAGCAGAACAAUGACAUCUCCCCAGGCACACGGCGCAGCCCCAGGUGUGGUGCUCCCCACUCCACCCCCGGGUGCCUCCAUCCCACAGCUGUUGCAGAAAUGGAAGGAGACGCAGAACUACAGAAGGGGCUCCAGGCUUGGGGACCUGCCCCACCUGUGAGGAAAAGCUGGACUCCUUGUCACUCAGCAGAAAAUGCGUCAACUGC